rnacentral:rRNA from 1 species
UUCGAGCGGUAACAUUUCUAGCUUGCUAGAAGAUGACGAGCGGCGGACGGGUGAUAAUGCUUGGGAAUAUGCCUUAUGGUGGGGGACAACAGUUGGAAACGACUGCUAAUACCGCAUAACGUCUACGGACCAAAGGAGGGGAUCUUCGGACCUUUCGCCAUUUGAUUAGCCCAAGUGAGAUUAGCUAGUAGGUGAGGUAAAGGCUCACCUAGGCGACGAUCUCUAGCUGGUUUGAGAGGAUGAUCAGCCACACUGGGACUGAGACACGGCCCAGACUCCUACGGGAGGCAGCAGUGGGGAAUAUUGCACAAUGGGCGAAAGCCUGAUGCAGCCAUGCCGCGUGUGUGAAGAAGGCCUUCGGGUUGUAAAGCACUUUCAGUUGUGAGGAAAGGGAUGUAGUUAAUAACUGCAUUCUGUGACGUUAACAACAGAAGAAGCACCGGCUAACUUCGUGCCAGCAGCCGCGGUAAUACGAGGGGUGCAAGCGUUAAUCGGAAUUACUGGGCGUAAAGCGUUCGUAGGCGGUCUAUUAAGCAAGAUGUGAAAGCCCAGGGGCUCAACCUUGGAACUGCAUUUUGAACUGGUAGACUAGAGUACUGUAGAGGGUGGUGGAAUUUCCAGUGUAGCGGUGAAAUGCGUAGAGAUUGGAAAGGAACAUCAGUGGCGAAAGCGGCCACCUGGACAGAUACUGACGCUGAG